rnacentral:rRNA from 1 species
UAGGGAAUCUUCCACAAUGGACGCAAGUCUGAUGGAGCAACGGCCGCGUGAGUGAAGAAGGUCUUCGGAUCGUAAAGCUCUGUUGUUGGUGAAGAAGGAUAGAGGCAGUAACUGGUCUUUAUUUGACGGUAAUCAACCAGAAAGUCACGGCUAACUACGUGCCAGCAGCCGCGGUAAUACGUAGGUGGCAAGCGUUGUCCGGAUUUAUUGGGCGUAAAGCGAGCGCAGGCGGAAUGAUAAGUCUGAUGUGAAAGCCCACGGCUCAACCGUGGAACUGCAUCGGAAACUGUCAUUCUUGAGUGCAGAAGAGGAGAGUGGAACUCCAUGUGUAGCGGUGGAAUGCGUAGAUAUAUGGAAGAACACCAGUGGCGAAGGCGGCUCUCUGGUCUGCAACUGACGCUGAGGCUCGAAAGCAUGGGUAGCGAACAGGAUUAGAUACCCUGGUAGUCCAUGCCGUAAACGAUGAGCGCUAGGUGUUGGGGACUUUCCGGUCCUCAAUGCCGCAGCAAACGCAUUAAGCGCUCCGCCUGGGGAGUACGACCGCAAGGUUGAAAC